rnacentral:rRNA from 1 species
UAGGGAAUCUUCCACAAUGGACGAAAGUCUGAUGGAGCAACGCCGCGUGAGUGAAGAAGGUUUUCGGAUCGUAAAACUCUGUUGGUAGAGAAGAACGUUGGUGAGAGUGGAAAGCUCAUCAAGUGACGGUAACUACCCAGAAAGGGCGGCUAACUACGUGCCAC